rnacentral:misc_RNA from 1 species
CUGAGUUUACAACUCCCAAACCCCUGUGAACAUACCUAUCGUUGCUUCGGCGGGAUCGCCCCGGCGCCCUCAGGACCGGACCCAGGCGCCCGCCGGAGGACCCAAACUCUUGUCUUUCAUGAGUAUCCUCUGAGUAAACAUAAGCAAAAUAAAUCA